rnacentral:rRNA from 1 species
UACGUAAGGACCGAGCGUUGUCCGGAAUCAUUGGGCGUAAAGGGUACGUAGGCGGGUAUUUAAGUUAGACGUCAAAGGCUAUAGCUCAACUAUAGUAAGCUUUUAAAACUGCGCAUCUUGAGGUAUGGAAGGGAAAGUGGAAUUCCUAGUGUAGCGGUGAAAUGCGUAGAUAUUAGGAGGAAUACCGGUGGCGAAGGCGACUUUCUGGCCAUAAACUGACGCUGAGAUACGAAAGCGUGGGUAGCGAACAGG